GGUAUGGGAUGAGCUUGCGUCCGAUUAGCUAGUUGGCGGGGCAACGGCCCACCAAGGCGACGAUCGGUAGCCGGCCUGAGAGGGUGAUCGGCCACAUUGGGACUGAGAUACGGCCCAGACUCCUACGGGAGGCAGCAGUAGGGAAUGUUGCACAAUGGGGGAAACCCUGAUGCAGCAACGCCACGUGUGGGAAGAAGCAUUUCGGUGUGUAAACCACUGUCGUGAGGGAAUAAUACGCGGUUUCGGCCGCGGGAGAAUGUACCUUGAAAGGAAGCACCGGCAAACUUCGUGCCAGCAGCCGCGGUAAUACGAGGGGUGCAAGCGUUGUUCGGAAUCACUGGGCGUAAAGGGAGCGCAGGCGGAUGUUCAAGCGGAUUGUACAAUACCGGGGCCCAACCCCGGACCUGCAGUUCGAACUGGACAUCUUGGAUAGUUCAGGGGCAGGC
rnacentral:rRNA from 1 species